UUUUCGGAUGGAAGCUGGAUUGACUGAGUGGCGGACGGGUGAGUAACGCGUGGGUAACCUGCCUCACACUGGGGGACAACAGUUAGAAAUGACUGCUAAUACCGCAUAAGCGCACAGGACCGCAUGGUCCGGUGUGAAAAACUCCGGUGGUGUGAGAUGGACCCGCGUCUGAUUAGCUAGUUGGCAGGGCAACGGCCUACCAAGGCGACGAUCAGUAGCCGACCUGAGAGGUUGAACGGCCACAUUGGGACUGAGAUACGGCCCAGACUCC
rnacentral:rRNA from 1 species